AUGUACUCACAGGUUAUUCGCGUAAGUGACAUGCAAAGGUUGCAGGAUGAAAUAGCUGAGACCUUGAGCCUUCUUGAGGCCAUAUUCCUCCCAUCAUUUUUCGAUAUUAUGGUGCAUUUGAUGGUUCAUCUUCCAGCACAAGCAAUGAUAGCUAGUCCAGUACAUUUUCGCAGCAUGUGGGCUGUAGAGAGGUAUAUAGGAAAGCUCAAGGGACAUGUACACACCAGAAGUCAUGUGGAAGGAUCAAUUGCAGAGGGCUAUUUGUUUGAUGAGAGAUUGACAUUUUGCUCACACUAUUUGGAUGAUAAGAGUCGGUUGAAUCGAGCUAGGAAUGAUGGGGGUUUGUAUAUGGAAGUUGAUGAUACAACUCCUUUCUUCCACAACAUUGGUCGAGGGCUGGCUGGCAAGUGCAUGGUGAUGUUAGAUAACAAAACUUGGCUGCAAGCCCACAGAUACGUCUUAUUCAAUUAUGACAACAUAGAACCAUACCUAGAGUAA
rnacentral:rRNA from 1 species